UUGACUGGGGCGGUACACCUGUCAAAGCGUAACGCAGGUGUCCUAAGGCGAGCUCAGGGAGGCCAGAAACCUCCCGUGGAGCAGAAGGGCAAAAGCUCGCUUGAUCUUGAUUUUCAGUACGAAUACAGACCGUGAAAGCGGGGCCUCACGAUCUUGUACUUUCUUGUACUGACAAGAAAGGCAGGGAGCUGUUGGAGAGGGUCCAG
rnacentral:ncRNA from 1 species